rnacentral:lncRNA from 1 species
UUAAAUUCAUUUGGAGUCUACAUUCACUCAAGGAGUGCCUUUCAAUUGAUACUAGUAGGUUGUAUCAUUGAUUUUUUCACUAUGGAAUCUUUAGAAAUUAUGAACGUCAUCCAAUCCAAACUCAAUCAACAAAAUGUUGCAUUCAAAGAUAUGCUCCAAUCAUCUUUGGAGUUGCAUUUUGAUUCCAUUCACAUUACACUGCACCAACACCUUUCAUCAGUUGAUUCAUGUGUUUGUUAACCUAUGUCCAGAGCAUACAUCGUCCAAAUUGGGUUCAGUCGGAUAAGCAUCACGCACCUUGUUUCAGAUUGGAGCUUUUUUUAUUUCCCCAUAACACCAGAAGCUUUGCGCCUCCAAAUCACCUCAUUUCAUCUGGAAAAUCAUGUUGUUGUGUGGUUUGCCUUCCUCGAAAUCUAUGCAAAACAAACUUCUUCUGUCGUAUGACAACAUGUCACGACCCAACUAAACCUUUUAACCCAAACACAUCAACAACAACAAUCCAACCUUAUCCACAAACCUUUUAACAACCUUUACACAAACUGCCAAAUCUACUACCCAACCAC